rnacentral:rRNA from 1 species
CACACCGCCGUCACAUCACGAAAGUGAGCUGUACUAGAAGUCGCCCAGCCAACCGUAAGGGGCAGGCGCCCAAGGUAUGGCCCAUGAUUGGGGUG